rnacentral:rRNA from 1 species
CAGCAGUGGGGGAAUUUUGGUUCAUGGGCGCAAGCCUGACGGAGAUGACCCAGUUAGAAGAAGGCCUUGCGGUUGUGAAAGUCUUUGUACGUAAGGAAAUAAAGGCAGUAAAGUUAAUACCUUUCGAUACCUGAUGAAUAAGAAUCCUUCCCCUAACUCCUGUG